GAGCCAUCUGAUUGCUUAUUGCACCACAUGUGUUUUUCUUUGAAACAAACUUGCUUUGGCGGUGGGCCCAGCCUGCCGCCAGAGGUCUAAACUUACAACCAAUUUUUUAUCAACUUGUCACACCAGAUUAUUACUAAUAGUCAAAACUUUCAACAACGGAUCUCUUGGUUCUCGCAUCGAUGAAGAACGCAGCGAAAUGCGAUACGUAAUAUGAAUUGCAGAUAUUCGUGAAUCAUCGAAUCUUUGAACGCACAUUGCGCCCUCUGGUAUUCCGGAGGGCAUGCCUGUUUGAGCGUCGUUUCUCCCUCAAACCGCUGGGUUUGGUGUUGAGCAAUACGACUUGGGUUUGCUUGAAAGACGGUAGUGGUAAGGCGGGAUCGCUUUGACAAUGGCUUAGGUCUAACCAAAAACAUUGCUUGCGGCGGUAACGUCCACCACGUAUAUCUUCAAACUUUGACCUCAAAUCAGGUAGGACUACCCGCUGAACUUAAGCAUAUCAAUAGGCGGAGGAA
rnacentral:rRNA from 1 species